rnacentral:rRNA from 1 species
GACAGAGGGUGCAAACGUUGUUCGGAAUUACUGGGCGUAAAGCGCACGUAGGUGGCGACGUAAGUCGGGUGUGAAAGCCCCGGGCUCAACCUGGGAAUUGCAUUCGAGACUGCAUUGCUGGAGUACGGAAGAGGAAGGCGGAAUUCCCGGUGUAGCGGUGAAAUUCGUAGAUAUCGGGAGGAACACCGGUGGCGAAGGCGGCGACCUGGGUAGAUACUGACGCUGAGGUGCGAAAGCGUGGGGAGCAAACAGG